AGGAAUUGACGGAAGGGCACCACCAGGAGUGGAGCCUGCGGCUUAAUUUGACUCAACGCGGGGAAACUCACCCGGCCCGGACACCGUAAGGAUUGACAGAUUGAGAGCUCUUUCUUGAUUCGGUGGGUGGUGGUGCAUGGCCGUUCUUAGUUGGUGGAGCGAUUUGUCUGGUUAAUUCCGAUAACGAACGAGACUCUAGCCUAUUAAAUAGUCGGCGGAUCAUUAGUCCGUUGUACUUCUUAGAGGGACAGAAGGCAUCUAGCCUUACGAGAUUGAGCAAUAACAGGUCUGUGAUGCCCUUAGAUGUCCGGGGCUGCACGCGCGCUACACUGAAGGGAUCAACGUGUCUGCUUCCUGCUUCGAAAGGAGUGGGUAACCCGUUGAAACCCCUUCGUGAUUGGGAUAGGGGCUUGUAAUUAUUCCCCUUGAACGAGGAAUUCCUAGUAAGCGCGGGUCAACAUCUCGUGUUGAUUACGUCCCUGCCCUUUGUACACACCGCCCGUCGCUACUACCGAUUGGAUGAUUUAGUGAGGCGUUCGGACCGUCGCCUUAGCGGCCGAAAGGCUGCCCUGGUGUUUGGAAAGAAAACCUAACUGCAUCAUCUAGAGGAAGUAAAAGUCGUAACAA
rnacentral:rRNA from 1 species